rnacentral:lncRNA from 1 species
CAUCUGCUGCUCUGCCUGCAAAGCUGUGAAAGUCUCCUGUCCUUCCCCAGGACCUGAUUUAUAGAAAGGACCUGUAUGAGUUAGGAUUAGGUUCUGCUGCUUGUGAUGACAACACUAAUAGCAACACCAAAAUGAGGCAUAAAUGAAAGAGAUAUUUCUCUCGACACAAUGUAGACAAUUUGGGCUUUACAUGGAAACCAAAUGAUCAUCAGGGACCCCAGCUCCUUCUAUCUUGCUGCUCCACUAUCCUUAACACAUGGUUUCUACCUCAUGGUCCAAGAUAGCUGCUCAAGUCCAGCAAUCAUCUGUACUGCAGCAAACAUAAAGGAGAAAUUGCUGGAGGAUACACAUACUUUUUUCUUUAAGAACAUUGCCUGGGAGUUUCACAUACCUCUUAUGCUUGCAUCCCAUUGGUUAGAAUUUAGUUUAGUCACAUCAAGACAUAUGGCUUCACCAAUUAAUAUGGUCUUUACUCUGGAUAACUAUGUAAACAGUUAAACGUGAAGUAUUCCAUUACUAAGGGAAAAGGGAGGAUGCACAUCAAGGAAAAACUAGCCACGGAACACAAGUUCCUUUAAGGAAGACUGUGAAGAUGCCAGUGAGUGACUAAAAACGAGCAUGAUAACAAAUACACUGUAACUUGGAAGAGAGAUCACACCCAGGCAAGAAACAGUUGGUUUGAUGCACCUUACUUCAAGCUCUAAUGAAAAACACCAGGGAGGAAUGCUGAGCACAUGCAGCUCUCACAGCCAUUAGUAUUCUCAGGGGCCUUGAGGGACCUAGCUCAGGCUCCUUCACAAACCUGAGUUCCAAGCCCAACUCCACUAGUUACCAGAUAUGUGACAUUAAGUAGGUUACUUAAUCUCUGUAUUAUUCAGCACUCUUCUGGCUGCAAGCCAUGUAAACCCAAUUCAAAUUAGCUUAAAUUACAAAGGGAAUUUGCUCUCCCUACCUCAACCAAAUGUUUAAGGUAUCCACCAACUUCAAGAAUGAAUGCCUGCAAUCACGUGUCCGUGUCUCAGUCUUUAAUUUAACCUUGCUCCCUUGCAAGGUUCACGACACUCCCCAGCAAUUCUCUUAUCUGGCAACAGCAAGGCCAGCAGCAGUUUUAUAGCCUCCUUGCUAACAACUCCAGAAGAAAGACAGCCCCCUUUCUGACUCGCCCAUCAAAGUUAGGUCUCAUUGGCCCAACGUAAGUGAUUUGCAUAUCUCUGAGCCAAUCAUGAUGUCUCUAACUGGCUGCAGAGCUGGGAGGAACUGGCUUCGCUUGACGCACAGGGCUUGCAAGUGGCAGAAGAGUGGCGCCCGGAAAGAAGCUCCGGGUACUAUUAGCAGAAAAUGACGGGAUUAUGCUGGUCAGGCAGAAGCCACAGAAGGUCAUUUUUUCAUGUCUUAGUAUAAAGCUAACCUCAUCAGAUAAUUAUGAGGAUUAACUGAGAUAACAUGACUGAAUUCAUUUAGUAUAAUCCCAGGCACCUAGCAGGACCCUACUAGGCAUCUUUGAAGCAUCGUAAGGAGUUAUAACAGAGGUACCAGGACAGAAACUUCAGAGCAGAAGCCCAGUAAAAGGGGCGAUGGCGUGGAACAGAGAGAGUUGGGAAACGAGACAGAUCGAAGUGUGCAGCAGGACAGAGGAGAGAGGUCCCAGAAGAUGAGUGUGGGAGUUGCCCGGAGUGGACCAGUAGUUGGGAGCAGCUUCAGCUGAUGGGGCUUUAGACUUCAAGAAGCAGCUGGGGUAGAAGGGGCAAGGACCAGAUAUCAGGCAAGCCCCGCAGGAAUCAGAACCCACUCAGAAGGGUUUGAGGAGUGUAACGAAGAGCUCAUUACAGAGGGAGUAGUCAGGAUUAAAUGACUCCUGAGGGGUAUAGAGGUCCUUGAAGCAGCAAGAGAGGGUAGCAGUUACCACCCCUCAGCUUGAGGGAUAGUAAGGAAUAGCAUCAUUGAAGUCAAUGAGAGUUGGAGUUUCACCUGCCCCCCAUCAGCUGGAGGUGAGAAGGGGCCCCCCAGCCGGAACUGACGUCACAGAGGAGAGACAACCCCAACCAGAAUCAAAGCGCCCUCCUCCCGCCUUCUGAACUCCUGCUGGUGAGUCUGCUUUAAGUGUGUUUCUGUUUUGUAAACACGUUCAUUUGUAUCAUUUUUAAAGAUUCUACAUAUAAGUGAUAUCAUAUGAUAUGUCUUUGACUUACUUCACUUAGUCGUAGAGGCAGCUGGGAUCCACAUGGCUGUGGUGUAGGCCGGCGGCUACAGCUUGGAUUCGGCCCCUAGCCUGGAAAUCUCCAUAUGCAGUGGGUGCAGCC